AAAUUUUCCAAGGUAACACCAAUGACGUCGAUUUAUGACGUCAAGGUUAAUUUACUUUUUUUUCCCAUUUUCUCCUCGUUUUCGGUGUAUUUGUUGUCUUGUUGUUUGGUUAGGGUCACUCCUACUGCCUACAUGCAAUAAUCGUUUCUUACUAUAAAUCACUCGAACGUCAGCCAAAAACAAUUUAAAUCGAUCCUACCCGACAUACGGAUAUUUAUUACCUCCCGUAGUAGAUUUUCAUGUUUUUGUGUGUAGUAUUGUAUUGAUAUAAUUAUAGAUAUAUGAUGAA
rnacentral:lncRNA from 1 species